GAUGAACGCUGGCGGCGUGCCUAAUACAUGCAAGUCGAGCGAACAGACGAGGAGCUUGCUCCUCUGACGUUAGCGGCGGACGGGUGAGUAACAUGUGGAUAACCUACCUAUAAGACUGGGAUAACUUCGGGAAACCGGAGCUAAUACCGGAUAACAUGUUGAACCGCAUGGUUCAACAGUGAAAGACGGUCUUGCUGUCACUUAUAGAUGGAUCCGCGCCGCAUUAGCUAGUUGGUAAGGUAACGGCUUACCAAGGCAACGAUGCGUAGCCGACCUGAGAGGGUGAUCGGCCACACUGGAACUGAGACACGGUCCAGACUCCUACGGGAGGCAGCAGUAGGGAAUCUUCCGCAAUGGGCGAAAGCCUGACGGAGCAACGCCGCGUGAGUGAUGAAGGUCUUCGGAUCGUAAAACUCUGUUAUUAGGGAAGAACAAAUGUGUAAGUAACUAUGCACGUCUUGACGGUACCUAAUCAGAAGGCCACGGCUAACUACGUG
rnacentral:rRNA from 1 species